rnacentral:lncRNA from 1 species
GAAGUGUGAAGAGUCAAGUCUUCUAGGUGGUUUGUUAAGAUCACAUGGUUUCUGGCUUCUACUGCUAAACUUGUAUACCUGCCUGUACCCAUUGUAUAUGAGUAUGUGGGUGUAAUAUCAACUGUUCAGAAAAUAGCCUUAGGCCCACAGGAUGACAGCUUUAGAAAGUGGUCUCCCAGGCUGGCUGCUUUGACCAUAUGCCUGAGAAUCUUCCUUACAGCUUUUGGAAAGGACAUCAAGCACCAGGCAGAGCUUUCUGUGUUGUCUUGGCAUCAGGGUUUCCUUCAAUGUCAAAUGCUGAAAUGUUUGUUAUUUCACAUUCAUAAGUAGUGGGACAUGUGAAGAAGAGUGAAUACACUUGGAAGUAACACAAAAAUCAUGGAAGAAGAGACUACAAAUAGAAUGCCAGACAGUAACUGGGUUUUCCAGGAGCACGCUCUGACAAUUCCUGCUCAGCUGAAUCCUUUUGUGAACUGGGCAUCAGGAGCUCUGCAGCUCUGCUGGUAGCUCAGAAAACAGCUUGUGUACAGUGCUAAAUGGAUGGAUCCUCUCUGCACUUUCAGAGCAGAUCAUCACUGCAGUAAAUGCUAGCAUCUUCAAAGGUUCCUCAGAACCAAGUCCCUAAAUUCAGUAUGUGGUCAGUCAAGGCAGCACCCACUCACUAUACCAACACUUAGGAUGCAGAGGCAAGAACAUUGCCCAAAGUUCAAAAGUGAUGAGGUUUACAAAUUCAGUUCCAGGCAAGCCAAGGCUCCACUGACAAAACCUGUUUCAAAAACAAAAACAAAAAUUCCAUCUCAGUAGGACAAGACCAAGAAUGGGUAACUGUUUUAAAUCCACAUCUGUAAUUUUAAGUUUAUACAGUUUGAGUAGGGUUUCUUUGCUUUGAACAUUUUAUUUAGUGACAUGGCAUUGUCUGCCUUCCAGUGCAUAGGUUUCCUUCCCAUCUACAAACCUAACAAGCCAUAAUAUAUCUACUAGAAAAACCACUAUGUCUAAACUGGAAGUGCAAAGGUUUUGGGUUUUUUGUUUGUUUGUUUGUUUUUUUCUGUCAUUAUUUACAAAACAAUGCAAUGUAACAAUUAUUUACAUAUCACAUACAUUUCUCAUUAUGUGUGAUUCAGAAAUAAGUUCGAUAAGUCUUCCUGCAUGCCUCAGGCAGACCUACAGCCAGUCCCCUGUAGACACUAAAGUCCUCACCCAGCAUCCUGCAUUUCCUGAGAUACAUCACCUCUUUCUUGCAACAAUCCCAACCUUGAGGGAGACUACUCAUCACGCAUAGUGCUGUGUCCUACAGUGUUUCCUUCUUCUCAGCUGGAUUUGUCUUCCUGUGAUUUGUUACACUUCAAUGUAUACCUUCCAAUAGGAAUCUUGUUUUCAUCCCAAAGCUACUGGUUUCAUUUAUCAUGAACAAAAUAACUAUAAUGUAGAUGCAGAAUUUAAGUUAACGAAAUUAUAAAGGCUGUCCGUUGACAUCCACUACAGGCGGGCACAUGCACACAUGUGCACACACGUGCACACACACACACACCUAUGAUGUACA